AUUGAACGCUGGCGGCAGGCCUAACACAUGCAAGUCGAGCGGAUGAAGGGAGCUUGCUCCUGGAUUCAGCGGCGGACGGGUGAGUAAUGCCUAGGAAUCUGCCUGGUAGUGGGGGAUAACGUCCGGAAACGGGCGCUAAUACCGCAUACGUCCUGAGGGAGAAAGUGGGGGAUCUUCGGACCUCACGCUAUCAGAUGAGCUUAGGUCGGAUUAGCUAGUUGGUGGGGUAAAGGCCUACCAAGGCGACGAUCCGUAACUGGUCUGAGAGGAUGAUCAGUCACACUGGAACUGGGACACGGUCCAGACUCCUACGGGAGGCAGCAGUGGGGAAUAUUGGACAAUGGGCGAAAGCCUGGUCCAGCCAUGCCGCGUGUGUGAAGAAGGUCUUCGGAUUGUAAAGCACUUUAAGUUGGGAGGAAGGGCAGUAAGUUAAUACCUUGCUGUUUUGACGUUACCAACAGAAUAAGCACCGGCUAACUUCGUG
rnacentral:rRNA from 1 species